UGCUACGGUCAUACCACCACGAAAGCACCCGAUCCCAUCAGAACUCGGAAGUUAAACGUGGUUGGGCUCGAUUAGUACUGGGAUGGG
rnacentral:rRNA from 1 species